rnacentral:pre_miRNA from 1 species
CUUGUAUUCCCUCCGUCCAAAAAUACUUGUCAUUGAAAUGGAUGUAUCUAGAUGUAUUUUAGUUCUAGACACAUCCAUUUUGAUGACAAGUAUUUCCGGACGGAGGGAGUACUUG